AUACUUACCUGGCGGGGGAGAUACCAAGAUCUCGAAGGUAGUUUUCCCAGGGUGAGGCUUAUCCAUCACACUUCGAAUGUGCUGACCCCUAUGAUUUCCCCAAAUGUGGGAAACUCGACUGCAUAAUUUGCGGUAGUGGGAGACUGUGUUCGAGCUCUCCCCUG